rnacentral:rRNA from 1 species
UACGAAGGGGGCUAGCGUUGCUCGGAAUCACUGGGCGUAAAGCGCACGUAGGCGGAUUGCUAAGUCAGGGGUGAAAUCCUGGAGCUCAACUCCAGAACUGCCUUUGAUACUGGCAACCUUGAGUCCGGGAGAGGUGAGUGGAACUGCGAGUGUAGAGGUGAAAUUCGUAGAUAUUGGGAAGAACACCGGUGGCGAAGGCGGCUCACUGGCUCGUAACUGACGCUCAUGCACGACAGCGUGGGGAUCAAACAGG